rnacentral:rRNA from 1 species
UACGUAGGGGGCGAGCGUUGUCCGGAUUUAUUGGGCGUAAAGGGCGCGUAGGCGGCCCGGUAAGUCAAAGGUGAAAUCCCUCGGCUCAACCGAGGAACUGCGUCUGAUACUGGAAGGCUUGAAUCCGGGAGAGGGAUGUGGAAUUCCAGGUGUAGCGGUGAAAUGCGUAGAUAUCUGGAGGAAUACCGGUGGCGAAGGCGGCAUCCUGGACCGACAUUGACGCUGAGGAGCGAAAGCUAGGGGAGCAAACGGG